GCGGGCGUAGUUCAGUGGUAGAACGUCUGCUUGCCAAGCAGAAGGUCGUGGGUUCAAGUCCCAUCGCCCGCUCCA
rnacentral:tRNA from 1 species